UACAGAGGUCUCAAGCGUUUGUUCGGAUUCAUUGGGCGUAAAGGGUGCGUAGGCGGCGCGGUAAGUCACUUGGUGAAAUCUCUGAGCUUUAACUCAGAACGGCCAAGUGAUACUGCAGUGCGUAGAGUGCAGGAAGGGGCAAUCGGGAAUUCUUGGUGUAGCGGUGGAAUGCGCAGAUAUCAGGAGGAACACCUAUGGCGAAGGCAGCUCGCUGGGACGGUACUGACGCUGGAGGUGCGAAAGCGUGGGGAGCGAACAGG
rnacentral:rRNA from 1 species